rnacentral:rRNA from 1 species
GAUGAACGCUGGCGGCGUGCCUAAUACAUGCAAGUCGAGCGAACAGACGAGGCGCUUGCUCCUCUCUCGUUAGCGGCGCACGGGUGUGUAACACGUGUAUAACCUACCUAUCAGACUGGGAACAUUUCGAGACACCGGCGCUUAUCCCGGAUAAUAUAUUGAACCGCAUGGUGCAAUAGUGAAAUUCGGUUUUUCUGACACUUCUCGCUGGAUCGCGGCCGUAUUAGCUAGUUGGUACGUUCACGGCUUAUCAAGGCAACGAUGCGUAACCGACCUGAGAGGGUGAUAGGCCACCCUGGAGCUGGAACGCGGACCAUGCUACUGAGAGAGGCAGCAGAAGGGAAUCUGCCGCAAUGGGCGAAAGCCUGACAGAGCAAGGCCGCGUGAGUGAUGAAGGUCUUCGGAUCGUAAAACUCUGUUAUUAGGGAAGAACAGAUGUGUAAGUAACUAUGCACGUCUUGACGGUACCUAAUCAGAAAGCCACGGCUAACUACGUG